UGGGGAAUAUUGCACAAUGGGCGCAAGCCUGAUGCAGCCACGCCGUGUGUAUGAAGAAGGCCUUCGGGUUGUAAAGUACUUUCAGCGGGGAGGAAGGGAGUAAAGUUAAUACCUUUGCUCAUUGACGUUACCCGCAGAAGAAGCACUGGCUAACUCCGUGCUAGCAGCCGCGGGAAUUCGGAGGGUGCAAGCGUUAAUCGGAAUUACUGGGCGUAAAGCGCACGCAGGCGGUGUGUUAAGUCAGAUGUGAAAUCCCCGGGCUCAACCUGGGAAAUGCAUCUGAUACUGGCAAGCUUGAGUCUCGUAGAGGGGGGUAGAAUUCCAGGUGUAGCGGUGAAAUGCGUAGAGAUAUGGAGGAAUACCGGUGGCGAAGGCGGCCCCCUGGACGAAGACUGACGCUCAGGUGCGAAAGCGUGGGGAGCAAACAGG
rnacentral:rRNA from 1 species